UCACAAUGCCAACGACGGCCCGUUUGAGGUCAGUCGUUUCGUAAUACCUCUUCGAGCACAUGGAGAGCAUCUUCGUUCCCCAAACCGAACUCGAACUCGAACUCCUCGAGUCCUAACGAGCGAGUGAAGAUCCGAAUCGAGUCAACAAUGUCGAAAUCGUUCUCCGACCUCCAUCACCUUCUCAUUCAGUUAUCGGAGCCAAUAACGGAGUCGCUCUCCAAAAUCCAAUACACUCCACCAGAGGGCUCCUACAUUUCUGUCAAAGCCCUAAUCGAACCCCUCCUCCCGCACAAAGCCUCCCUGCCAAACCCUAGCAUCGCCGAGGACCAAAUUCAUGCUUUAAUAAGAGAUUUUUCCUUAGCUUGCGCCUUGAUAUCCUCCUCCCAGUCCUCGACCCACGAAAUCCUCUCGUGGAUUCCCCAGCACCUGUCGGUCUCUGCAAACUCUUCCUUUCGCAAGCUCUCCGAAGCAUACUGUGGCGUUUUUGGCGAAACAAAUGCAAAGAGGAUCGUUGAGUUGGGUGUGGAUAUUGGUUCGAUUCCUGAAGAUAGGAGACUUGUGGUGGAAUUGAUCCCGGAGGUGCUGCCAUUGUUGAAGGAGAGGAUUAAGGAGAGCUCGAUAGAUAAGUCGGACGAGAGCCACGAGGUCUCGGCCGCGUCGGCUCGGGUUCCGGUAGGGCUCGCCAUCGUAGCAGCUUAUCAGUUUAGAUGGUUUGUCACUCAGGUUGGUUAUCCUUCUUUGGGACAACUGUGCGCUUUGGUGAUUCCUUGUGCAUUGACUGCGCUUGAUCACUGGUCAGCGGAGGUGAAAGGCCAGGGCAUGAUUAGCCUUACACAUCUUGCAAAAAAUGUUGAUGCCAUGGAUCUGGGCGGGUAUGAGGAUGUGAUUCUUGAUGCAUGCUGCCAGAAUAUUGCUUCUAGUGAUGAUAUAUGGCAUCAUGUAGUUGAGAUGUCAACACUUCUUGUGACUUGUACUCAGAGGGGCAACCCUCGUAGCCCAUGGUUUGAAAGGAUGUUGAAUGAGAUGUUAAGUCACUUGGAGCGGCAGCCAAGGAACAAGGAGCGUCGGAUUGCAUGGCUCAAAUAUAUUGAGCCACUUUUAAGUAGUGUUGGUCUUGUGUUAUUAGCUCAUUUUAGGCGUAUUUUUCCCCUUUUCCUUAAGUGGAUGCAUGCCGAUGAUGAUGAGACUGUUCUACUGGUUCUGGAAAGGAUCCAAACUAUCUUAAGGUUAACAUGGAUAAGGAACACACCAUAUGUUGGAAGGUAAACUGCUAGGUUGGUCGAUGAACUCACUAUGUUGUAUAAAGAGGCAGCAUUGAAGAGGACUCGCGAAGAAGUUAGAGCACAAAUUGUUCAGAUAUUGAUCUUACUCCAACAAUGUAAAGGUAUGCAAUUCGAAGCAGCCUGGGGCAAGCACAAGGAUGAUCCAAACUUGACAAAUCUUGAGGCAUCACUAAGUAGAAAAGACACAGCGACGGUCAUUCAAUGAUCUUUCGGAAGCAGACGGAAUGCGCUAUUGCUUAAGAUAUGGUGUAAAUAGCUUAUUUUGGGAUCUGUAUUCUGUGUACAUGUAAUUAUGAGCACUAUAUAACUUUCCUUAUUUUAUGUAUGGUGUUGCCGUAUUCCUCGAGCAUAA